rnacentral:rRNA from 1 species
UGUUUCGGCUAGGGGGCCAUCCCGGCUUACCAACCCGAUGCAAACUGCGAAUACCGGAGAAUGUUAUCACGGGAGACACACGGCGGGUGCUAACGUCCGUCGUGAAGAGGGAAACAACCCAGACCGCCAGCUAAGGUCCCAAAGUCAUGGUUAAGUGGGAAACGAUGUGGGAAGGCCCAGACAGCCAGGAUGUUGGCUUAGAAGCAGCCAUCAUUUAAAGAAAGCGUAAUAGCUCACUGGUCGAGUCGGCCUGCGCGGAAGAUGUAACGGGGCUAAACCAUGCACCGAAGCUGCGGCAGCGACACUGUGUGUUGUUGGGUAGGGGAGCGUUCUGUAAGCCGUUGAAGGUGUCCUGUGAGGGGUGCUGGAGGUAUCAGAAGUGCGAAUGCUGACAUAAGUAACGAUAAAGCGGGUGAAAAGCCCGCUCGCCGGAAGACCAAGGGUUCCUGUCCAACGUUAAUCGGGGCAGGGUGAGUCGACCCCUAAGGCGAGGCCGAAAGGCGUAGUCGAUGGGAAACGGGUUAAUAUUCCCGUACUUGGUGUUACUGCGAAGGGGGGACGGAGAAGGCUAUGUUGGCCGGGCGACGGUUGUCCCGGUUUAAGCGUGUAGGCUGGUUUUCCAGGCAAAUCCGGAAAAUCAAGGCUGAGGCGUGAUGACGAGGCACCACGGUGCUGAAGCAACAAAUGCCCUGCUUCCAGGAAAAGCCUCUAAGCAUCAGGUAACAUCAAAUCGUACCCCAAACCGACACAGGUGGUCAGGUAGAGAAUACCAAGGCGCUUGAGAGAACUCGGGUGAAGGAACUAGGCAAAAUGGUGCCGUAACUUCGGGAGAAGGCACGCUGACACGUAGGUGAAGUGAUUUACUCACGGAGCUGAAGUCAGUCGAAGAUACCAGCUGGCUGCAACUGUUUAUUAAAAACACAGCACUGUGCAAACACGAAAGUGGACGUAUACGGUGUGACGCCUGCCCGGUGCCGGAAGGUUAAUUGAUGGGGUCAGCGCAAGCGAAGCUCCUGAUCGAAGCCCCGGUAAACGGCGGCCGUAACUAUAACGGUCCUAAGGUAGCGAAAUUCCUUGUCGGGUAAGUUCCGACCUGCACGAAUGGCGUAAUGAUGGCCAGGCUGUCUCCACCCGAGACUCAGUGAAAUUGAACUCGCUGUGAAGAUGCAGUGUACCCGCGGCAAGACGGAAAGACCCCGUGAACCUUUACUAUAGCUUGACACUGAACAUUGAGCCUUGAUGUGUAGGAUAGGUGGGAGGCUUUGAAGCGUGGACGCCAGUCUGCGUGGAGCCGACCUUGAAAUACCACCCUUUAAUGUUUGAUGUUCUAACGUGGACCCGUAAUCCGGGUUGCGGACAGUGUCUGGUGGGUAGUUUGACUGGGGCGGUCUCCUCCUAAAGAGUAACGGAGGAGCACGAAGGUUGGCUAAUCCUGGUCGGACAUCAGGAGGUUAGUGCAAUGGCAUAAGCCAGCUUGACUGCGAGCGUGACGGCGCGAGCAGGUGCGAAAGCAGGUCAUAGUGAUCCGGUGGUUCUGAAUGGAAGGGCCAUCGCUCAACGGAUAAAAGGUACUCCGGGGAUAACAGGCUGAUACCGCCCAAGAGUUCAUAUCGACGGCGGUGUUUGGCACCUCGAUGUCGGCUCAUCACAUCCUGGGGCUGAAGUAGGUCCCAAGGGUAUGGCUGUUCGCCAUUUAAAGUGGUACGCGAGCUGGGUUUAGAACGUCGUGAGACAGUUCGGUCCCUAUCUGCCGUGGGCGCUGGAAGACUGAGGGGGGCUGCUCCUAGUACGAGAGGACCGGAGUGGACGCAUCACUGGUGUUCGGGUUGUCAUGCCAAUGGCACUGCCCGGUAGCUAAAUGCGGAAAAGAUAAGUGCUGAAAGCAUCUAAGCACGAAACUUGCCCC